rnacentral:sRNA from 1 species
AUUUUGUCCCAGUCAGUCCGGAGGCUGCGGCUGCAGAAGUACCGCCUGCGGAGUAACUGCAAAGAUGCUGUCCGUGCGCGUUGCUGCGGCCGUGGUCCGCGCCCUUCCUCGGCGGGCCGGACUGGUCUCCAGAAAUGCUUUGGGUUCAUCUUUCAUUGCUGCAAGGAACUUCCAUGCCUCUAACACUCAUCUUCAGAAGACUGGUAAGUUAUUAUUUCUCAGUCUACGCCGCACUUACUAGAUGAAGAUAUAAAUUACAUACAUCGUAUAACUGUGGUGAGUUGUUUUUCAUUUGUUAGUUUUUUCUCUAGUUUGUAUAGACUCUCAGGUUCUUAAACCAUAAUGUUACCAUUUAGCCCUGUCAUGGUUCUCUUGUUAUAGUCAAAUGAACUACUGUUACAUAUUUUUCUUUUGAUAUUAGUACGGCUUCUUUGUUCUGGUAAUGGCCCUUGGGUAGAAACAGAAAGAACAUACACUAGGUAAUGGAAUCUUUGUGACCUCUGGAAGACUUCCUUUUUCCUUUUCUAAAAGGCAUUAGAAAAAAUGUAAGUUCUUA